UCUCUCGGGUUUAAAGGAAGCGAUUCCGGCUACGGAUGGUCAUGUGUCGCAUUAGCUUGUUGGCGGGGUAACGGCCCACCAAGGCGACGAUGCGUAGGGGUUCUGAGAGGAAGGUCCCCCACACUGGUACUGAGACACGGACCAGACUCCUACGGAAGGCAGCAG
rnacentral:rRNA from 1 species